rfam:Schistosoma rodhaini strain Burundi genome assembly, scaffold: SROB_scaffold0000018
AUCCAGCUGACGAAUUCCAGAUAGGAUGAAACGCACGUUUUGAAU